CGGGAAUGGCCGCGGUUGCGUGAAUCCUAGAGCUCCAGUAUGGGCCGAUGUAAUCGCCCUCAUCACGGAUUCUCUUUGCUGUGUCCACUGAGGUUGUCAUCCCCUGGAUCUCUCCAUCUUAGUCUGAGAAGGAAAAGUUACUUGAGCAACCUCCAUGUGUCUGUCAUAUAGAUGGUCCACAACAAACACCUAGAGCAGGAUUGGAUAACAGAUUUGGUGCCUCAACCUCACAGUCCACCUUCAGCCAGACAAAACUUCAGUCUCUGCCCCACUUAACCAUUCUCCUUAGGUCUGCCAGUGAUGUCCAGUGACU